rnacentral:rRNA from 1 species
CCUANGGGGGGCAGCAGUGGGGAAUUUUGGACAAUGGGCGAAAGCCUGAUCCAGCAAUGCCGCGUGCAGGAAGAAGGCCUUCGGGUUGUAAACUGCUUUUGUACGGAACGAAAAGGUCUGCCCUAAUACGGCGGGCCCAUGACGGUACCGUAAGAAUAAGCACCGGCUAACUACGUGCCAGCAGCCGCGGUAAUACGUAGGGUGCGAGCGUUAAUCGGAAUUACUGGGCGUAAAGCGUGCGCAGGCGGUUAUGUAAGACAGUUGUGAAAUCCCCGGGCUCAACCUGGGAAUUGCAUCUGUGACUGCAUAGCUAGAGUACGGUAGAGGGGGAUGGAAUUCCGCGUGUAGCAGUGAAAUGCGUAGAUAUGCGGAGGAACACCGAUGGCGAAGGCAAUCCCCUGGACCUGUACUGACGCUCAUGCACGAAAGCGUGGGGAGCAAACAGGAUUAGAUACCCUANUANUC